rnacentral:rRNA from 1 species
UUCUGGCUCAGAUUGAACGCUGGCGGCAGGCCUAACACAUGCAAAUCGAACGGUAACAGGAAGAAGCUUGCUUCUUGCUGACGAGUGGCGGACGGGUGAGUAAUGUCUGGGAAACUGCCUGAUGGAGGGGGGAUAACGUACUGGAAACGGUAGCUAAUACCGCAUAACGUCGCAAGACCAAAGAGGGGGACCUUCGGGCCUCUUGCCAUCGGAUGUGCCCAGAUGGGAUUAGCUAGUAGGUGGGGUAACGGCUCACCUAGGCGACGAUCCCUAGCUGGUCUGAGAGGAUGACCCAGCCACACUGGAACUGAGACACGGUCCAGACUCCUACGGGAGGCAGCAGUGGGGAAUAUUGCACAAUGGGCGCAAGCCUGAUGCAGCCAUGCCGCGUGUAUGAAGAAGGCCUUCGGGUUGUAAAGUACUUUCAGCGGGGAGGAAGGGAGUAAAGUUAAUACCUUUGCUCAUUGACGUUACCCGCAGAAGAAGCACCGGCUAACUCCGUGCCAGCCGCAGC